UCCUUUAUUGAGGCAAUCUUUUUCUGAAGAGCCGGUCUUUAAAAAAUUUCGAUCUAGCCUUGACAUUAUAAGUCCGUUCAACUUCCAAGCUGAUAGCAAUUCUUCAAGCAGAAAAUGUUCUACUUCAAAAAAGUCAGUAAACCUUGAACAUAUUUGUUUCCCAAUUGAUGAAAAUGCAUGCACAACCGGGGAAGAUGUACUAGUUGAACCCGGAAAAAAUGCUGAAGAAGGUGAACGGGAGAAGACUUCCAAAGAAAAGGAUAUUAUAAGUCCGUUCAACUUCCAAGCUGAUAGCAAUUCUUCAAGCAGAAAAUGUUCUACUUCAAAAAAGUCAGUAAACCUUGAACAUAUUUGUUUCCCAAUUGAUGAAAAUGCAUGCACAACCGGGGAAGGUGUACUAGUUGAACCCGGAAAAAAUGCUGAAGAAGGUGAACGGGAAAAGACUUCCAAAGAAAAGGAUAUUAUUUUAAAUAAAUUGGAAAAAGC
rnacentral:lncRNA from 1 species